UACGUAGGGUGCGAGCGUUAAUCGGAAUUACUGGGCGUAAAGUGUGCGCAGGCGGCAGAGCAAGUCGAGUGUGAAAGCCCCGGGCUUAACUUGGGAAUUGCGCUCGAAACUACUUUGCUGGAGUGUGGCAGAGGAAGGUGGAAUUCCACGUGUAGCGGUGAAAUGCGUAGAGAUGCGGAGGAACACCGAUGGCGAAGGCAGCCCCCUGGGCUGACACUGACGCCUCAGGCACGAAAGCGUGGGGAGCAAACAGG
rnacentral:rRNA from 1 species